rnacentral:tRNA from 1 species
GCCGCUAUAGCUCAGUUGGUAGAGCGACGCUUUCGUAAAGCGUAGGUCGAGGGUUCGAGUCCCCCUAGCGGCU